AGGUCCCACUCUUGGGAAGACCUCCUGUAUGUUAUAGCAUUUGGCACAGAAUCUCUUCCAAGUUCUCUGCCUAGUUUUUGCAAGCUGUGACGCUCCACCUGGGGCUGGAGACACAAAUGUCAUUUUGGUACGUGGCAUGAGCAAGUGGAGCCCAUUUUCUAGAACAAGGGGGAACAGCCUACUCCAAAUUCUACAGGUUUUUGGGACACAGAACAAGAAGUCUCUUUCUUUUGUCCAGUGUGUUCAUAAUUCUCUUGUCUCUUGUCAGGAUAGAGAUUUUUGAGGACCUGGAUUGAUCUCAGGCUGGUGCAUCCACUGAAAUCAAAUGGAUGGCUGAGGAUUUGAUGGAGAAUGGAGUUCUGUGCCAGGAGAAUGGACUUCCUCUGUUUACAUAUUCCUUCCUUCAUCCAAAACCUCAUUAUAUUCUUGCCAGAAAGUUUUGACUACGAACUUAAUUUUGAUAAACUUGUUUAAUUGUAAACUUUCUUGUUUACAAACUUGGGAUGGUGUACUGGAAAUGUAGAAGGUGUAAAAGUACAAGGAUGCCAGAGAAAAGGUUAUUGGUUCUUGUUGAUUCAAGACUGAUACAUUUGGGUGAGAAUUCUGAGAGUGCUAGGGGGCCAGGGCUAGAACUCAGGACUGGCCCAAGAUCUCUUUUCUCUGUACUUCUCUUCAUCUCUUUCUCUUUUCUUUCUUUUUCUGUUGUAGAGUAAUUGCAAGGCUCAUUUUCAUUUCUUAUCAAGCCAUACAGUUUAGCCAUAGAGCUUAACAAAAAAUUUAAUUGUUGAAGUGGCAAUACU